AAAUGUGGGCCUUGAUGGAGGACCGAGGGUGUAGGCCCAACAUGAGGAGUACAGAUAGGGAAUCUAUGUGGGCCUUAGGCCCAAACCCGGAUCCAAGUAUCACAUACACACUGCUCAACAUCAAGGUCAAAAGAGAGUAGGAAACGCGCUUAUUUAGAAAAGCCAUUAUCGUGAAUGAAAUGGAAGAAGUCUUGAACCAAAAACGCUUAUGCACAAGUCGGAGCAGCUACGUGUUUCACCACCAAUAGUCGCUUUUGCGUUCACGUAUUCACAACAACGUCGCAUUUUGCAGCCGAGCUUCACGUUCAUCGACAACUUCGUCUUAUUCAAAUCACAACGUACAAAAUGAAGAAACACGGCUCCACCUCAAUGAUUCACGACUCAAAAUCCUCAACAAUACUCGAUUCGAUUUACUUGUGCACGCGCGAAAACAAGGAAAAACAGAAUUGAAAUCAAGAAACUCACCGAAUUUGAAGCUUCGAUUACAAACAGGUAUGAAUUCCCUUUCUCUGCUCGAUUUUCGAUUGCUUCCUCUUCUUCACCGGUUCGAUUUCCGAUUGCUUGUUGCGAUAUUUUCCUGUGUUGCAUUGAGUGUGUAUGAGAUGUAUGCAAAUUGUUGCGUGAGAAUGAGUGAGAGAGAAAGAGAGAACUCUGAGUCUUGGCGAGUUGAAUCGAGAUUGUGAAAAAUGAAUCUCUGAGUCAAUGAAUCCUGAGAUCAAUCCCUAUUGAGGUGAAGGAUGAAUGAUACUUAUAGCUAAUGGAUUUAAUAGAGAUCAAACUCUGUUAAAUCGUGAUAGCUUGAAACGGUUGGAAAUUAGCUUUGUUAAUUGGCUCUGUUAGAAGUUAGUUGGAAAACUGAUUUGUUAGUUUCACUAAACUUUCUGUUAAAAUGGAUUUACUUCCAGCUGUUAUGAAUGAGUAUUAGUUAGUGUAGAGUGCAAGCUAUAUUGGAACUGUUAGUAAUUGGAACGCUGCUAUGAAUGUCGGCACCGUUAUUUUGUGGGCGAAUGCUAGUAAUCGGUUAGAAAAAUUUCUUGUUAGUUGAUGCUAUGUCAGUAUAUGAAGUUAGGUUAUUAUUAAUGGCUCUUAUAUGUAAAUGUUGAUGAGGGAAUGAUGCUUAACAAAAUGGAAGUAUGCAAGUGUAAUCGAUUAAGAGUCAAUUCAAUAUAUGUAAUGAAAUAAUGAGCCAAGUUAUUUAGUUUAGAAACGGAAGUCAGUGACAUUUUAUGGGAUGUAUAAAACAUGUUGGUAUGAUGCUUGAAAUGAGUCUUGUAUGAUGCUUGAAAUGAGUCUUGUAUGAAUUCUAUUAGGCUGGUUUUAUGCAGGUCUUGGUAGUUCAAACAUGUGGUGCAUAGGGUGUGCAAAAAAAUUAAUUAUUCAUGAUCAAAUUGGUAUUCAAAUUAUUCCACUUUUAAAAAACCAAAGCAAAUGUUAAAAUAAAAAUUUGGGUAUCUAUUUUGUUAUUGAAAUAUAAAUCAUUAUUCAUUAUAAAAAUUUGGUUUUGUUAUUGGGUAUCCAAAUUUUACUAUGUCUUAAAUUUUUAUAUUUUUUUAUCACAUUAUAAAUUAAUUUUAUAUUUUAUUAUUUUAAAUUUUAUAAAAAUAAUUAUUUUAAAAAUAAAAUUUCAGAAUUUUUUUUCUUUUCACGAAAAAUAUUAUAUUCGAAUUUUUUUUCCAAAAAAAAUUAUAUUUGAUAUUUCUUUUUCAAAUAAAAUUAUUAUUUUCUUUUAAAUAAAAAAAAAAUUUAUCAAAAAUAUUUUGUAUUUUUUCAGUAAAAAAAUUUCUUUUUAAAAAAAAUUUAGAUUCUUUUUUAAAUAAUUUUUUUUAUAAUUUUUUAAAUUUUUAAAAAGAUUAUUUUUUCAAAUUUUCAGAAUAAUAAAACUUUUAUUUUCAGAUUUUUUUUAAAUAAUAAUUUUAUUUUCUAUUUCUAGUUUUUUUAAAAUAAAUUUUUUUCAGUUAUUUUUAUUUUUUAGAAUAAUUUAUUUUUUUCAAGAUUUUUUUUAUUUUUCAAUUUUUUUUUCAUUUUCAGAAUAUAAUUUUAUUAUUUUCAACUUUUUUUUGAUAUAUUUUUUUUCUUUUUUCUGCAUAUUUGAUAUUAUUAUUUUUUAAAAUUUUAAAAUAAAAAGUAUUUUAAAACCUCAUAAAACUUGUUUAUGUUUUUAAAUUUUAAAAUUAAUAUUAAUUUAAAGAAAAUAAAAUUUAAAUUAAAUAAAAUAAUUUUAAUUAAAAUUAAAACCCAUUUAAAAUCGGUUUUAAAUCGUUUCGAAACCGGUUUGAAACCGAUUCAGAAUUUUAAAUUGAUUUUUGUGAAAAGUGGUUUGGUUUAUAAACCAUAAUAAUAAAAAUGGAUUGGUUCAUAUUAAAUGGUAUCCAUGCACACCCUAGUGGUGCAAGCAUGACAUUUCAUAGAGAUUUGGACAUGGAGACAAAAUGGUCAAAAUUUGAAGCUGUUUUCUAAAAUGUGAAAUCAUUUUUCUACUUGAAUUGUUAACUUGUAUGAAGAGUUGGAAUAUUUUAUGGAUUGGUUGCUUGCGCUUGGAAGUCUUUGGAAAUGGGAAGGAAGUCUUUGGAAAUGGGAAGGUGAAUAAGUCAUGGCCAUUGGCGAAUGCUUGGAAUGUAUUGAAUUUGGAAUGGUGCAGUUGAAAUGAACCUUGUGAAUUGGUUGUAUGGAAGUAAAUGUAAAAUGUUUGGAAAAUGAAUGAAUUGAUGUAAUUUGAAUGAUGUAUUAUGAUUAUGUGAAUAUUGAUGUAUGGUUGAAAUGGUUGUGUUCUAUUGUUUGAUCAAUGAAUUGCCUUGCACAUGAGAUGCUAGUUUGAUGUAUGACAUGCUAGAAAUUGUUUUGUGGUUUUGACAAUGGUUUAUGUUGGAAUGGUUGGAAUGUAUGGUAGGAAUGCUUGCUUGAAAUAUGGUGUGUUGUUCAUAGAAUGAUAGUGUGAUAUGCUUGUAGUCAUAGUUUGAAAUGCUUGGUUAGGCAUGCUUGAAAUGCAUAUGCUUGGUUAGGCAUGCUUGAAAUGCAUAUGCUUUGAAUGCCAUAUUGGUUUAAUUUUUUUAGGUAGGAAGAGGAUGAAUGGACCAAUGUAAUGAUGACUAUUUCUUGAAGAAACAAAGGACUUAGGGUUUAGGGGAUGUAGAAAUAGUGAGUUGACUUUGGUCAACUGGUUGACCAAAAAGUCAACAAUUGACCAAAAGUCAACUUAUGUAAAAAAUAUGUAAUUUCUUUGUAAUUUUCAAUGAUGGACAAUGUAACAAAUGACCUUUAUGAAUGAAAUGUACUUUUCAGUCAAAAAUGUUCUUAUACAUGAAACAACUUUAAAUUCAAAUGAAAACCAUCUUGAAACCAAUGCCUUAGAUAAAUUCUAGAACAAAUUUGAAUGAGUGAAUGACAUGGAUGCUAGUGGACCAAUGUAAUGCCUUGAUCAAGUGUUCAAAGAAAUUGAAUCAAUGGAACUAGCCCACUUGUAUGAAUCUUGACACAUCAAUAGAACAUGAGAUCAUGACUUGUCAAUGCCCUGGGAGAAUCAAGAAAAACCAUGAAUGGAAUGUGGAUGAAAUGAGACUUGGAUCAAAUGGGCCACGAGACAUGAAUGUGAAUGAAAUGCAAUCCAUGAAUUAAGGUUUUAGUUAGGUCAAAGAUCCAAGUGUCAAGCAAUAACCAAGAGUUUCAAAUCAAGUAAUAAUCAACACCAGUAGUGUACCCAUGCCAUGAACCACAACUAGGGUUUUGGUUCAUCCCCAAUCCAAAGUUAACCAACAUGGUACUCGUGUACCAACUAUCCCU
rnacentral:lncRNA from 1 species